rnacentral:rRNA from 1 species
CGAGCGAAGCAGUUAAUUGAUUUCUUCGGAUUGAUUCUUAACUGACUGAGCGGCGGACGGGUGAGUAACGCGUGGGUGACCUGCCCCAUACCGGGGGAUAACAGCUGGAAACGGCUGCUAAUACCGCAUAAGCGCACAGAGCUGCAUGGCUCGGUGUGAAAAACUCCGGUGGUAUGGGAUGGGCCCGCGUCUGAUUAGGCAGUUGGCGGGGUAACGGCCCACCAAACCGACGAUCAGUAGCCGGCCUGAGAGGGCGACCGGCCACAUUGGGACUGAGACACGGCCCAAACUCCUACGGGAGGCAGCAGUGGGGAAUAUUGCACAAUGGGGGAAACCCUGAUGCAGCGACGCCGCGUGAGCGAAGAAGUAUUUCGGUAUGUAAAGCUCUAUCAGCAGGGAAGAUAAUGACGGUACCUGACUAAGAAGCCCCGGCUAACUACGUGCCAGCAGCCGCGGUAAUACGUAGGGGGCAAGCGUUAUCCGGAUUUACUGGGUGUAAAGGGAGCGUAGACGGCAAGGCAAGUCUGAUGUGAAAACCCAGGGCUUAACCCUGGGACUGCAUUGGAAACUGUAGGACUAGAGUGUCGGAGGGGUAAGUGGAAUUCCUAGUGUAGCGGUGAAAUGCGUAGAUAUUAGGAGGAACACCAGUGGCGA